GACAGAGUGAGAGAGAGAAAGAGAGAGAUGGUCGAUCCCCCCACGCGAGUACACGCGUCCUCCCACUAUACCGGUGACCGUGCUGCUCUGGUCUCCCUACUCCAGGAGAACCGAGCGGCGUCGUGGCUCGGUAGCGAGUGGCGUGGACUCGCGCGAGGGGUAGACCCGAGGAUUAACGAAGACGGCCGAGCACGGCCGAACGGUCGUUCGAAUCGCGGCUCCCGCGUCAGUGCUGAAACCGCGUUCGCGGUCCACGGUUCACGAUUUCCGGGUCUCGCUGGUUCUCCCGUGCUUUUUUUGGUCAGACCGCCGUAGUUACCCACGUCGCGCUCGCGCGCGUACGUUUAAGGUUAUACGUUCGUUAGUAAAAGCGCGAGGAGAUAGUCAAAUAUACGCGGCAAAUAAAGAUAUAAAUAAAUAAAUAAAUAAAGAACGAAAGGAAGGAAGAAAGGAAAGAAAGAGAAAAAAGAAAGAAAGAAAGACAGAAAGAAAGAAAGAAAGAAAGGAGGAGAAACACGGUAGGAGGAGAGGAUUGCUACCGAUCGGUUGCAAGUAAGUCCGUACUCUGUGUUUCACCAAGUUCGACGUACUGUGCGAGCGAGACAGACGAAAGGAAGGAAGGAAGGAAGGAAAGUGAAAGAGAGAGAGAGAGAGAGAGAGAGAGAGAGAGAGAGAAAGAGAGAGAUAUACAGAAAAAGGGAGGGAGAGAAAGAGAGAGAGAGAGAGAGAGAGUGAGAGGGUGGUAGAGGGAGAAGAGUAAUAGAACGAAAAGGAUAGGUUAACUUCUGUGUCUGUCUGUUACUCGAAAGUGAGAGCAGGACGUAUAGACGAUUGAAAGUAAAGGAAUAAAGAAAGAAAAAAAAUAGAAAAGAUAUACUAAAUAGAAAGGUGUCAUAGCGAUUCGCUCGCACAUAAUAUAAAAAGUAUACGUUAUCAUUAAUACGAAUUAAUCAAGCGAAUAAAUAAUAAAGUCCGACAAAUUUGUGCUCGUACUUUGAGAAAGAAAGAGAGAGAGAGAGAGAGAGAGAGGGAGAGAAAAAAAAGAAAGAAAAAGAACGAAAGAAAAACUAAUAACAAUAACAAUAACAAUAAUAAUAAUAAUAAUAAUAAUAAUAAUAAUAAUAAUGAUAAGAUAAAAUAAAAAGAAUUUAAUUGCAAGUCGACGAGCGAACUCGCGACUUUAAUCCUUAAUCGAGAACCUGGUGGUCCAAUCUUUUUGGUUAGUAAGGUUAGCUGCUGGCAGCUUUUGGAGGAAGAGAGGAGAAAUAAGAGGAAGAGGAAGAGGAAGAGGAGGAGGAAAAGGAGGAGGAGGAAAAGGAGAAGAAGAAGGAGGAGAAGGAGGAAGAGGAAGAAUAGGAGGAGGAGAAAAAGGAAGAGGAGGAGAAAAAGGAAGAGGAGGAGGAAAAGGAGGAGGAGGAAGAGGAGGAGGAGGAGGAAGUAGUGAUUGCAUUUAGAUUUCGAGUUGGAGCGAAAAAUGGCGGCGGCGCGUCGACGGUAUGCCUCGACGUCGUCGCCGGUCGACGAACAUUAAUGCGAGAGUAUUAUUGUUGUUGUUGUCAUCGCCGUCGUCGUCGUCGUCGUUACUAUUGCGGACUACGAAAGUCAACAGAAGGGGGAGAGAGAGAUACAGAGAGAGAGGGAGAGAGAAAAAGAAAGAAAAAAAGAGAGAGAAAGACGAAGAAGAGAAAAGAAGAAGAAGAAGAAGACGAAGAGAAAAGAAGAAUCGACGAGAGAAGAGGCUACGAACGGAUACAUUAUUAUUAUGUAGGAUUUACGUUCGGUUAAUCGGUGUGUGUGUCUCUCUCUCUCUCUCUCUCCCCCUCCUCCACCCUCAAUCAAAUCCUCUCUCUCUCUCUCUCUUUUUUUAUCCGUGUGUGUUCGUCAUACUGUCCUAUCCGUUGUGUCUCUCUAUCUCUCUCUCUCUCUUUUUCUCUCUUCCUCCCUUCCUUUUUUUUCUCUCUCUCUCUCUCCUUCAUACACACACACACACGCGUCCGCACACAACACACGCACACACACACAUAUAUAUAUAUACAUGCACAAAGACACACACACACAUGUUUUUCCCCGCAUAAUCAUUCUCUUUCUCGAUCUCUCUUCGCAAAACUCCCAAGGUGCAAUAUAUUCGCUUUACGCGUUCGUUAGAAGAGAUCGACGCGCGAAUAGCAAAGGUGCUCGAUCAAACGGCAUUUUAGUAUUUCGACAAAUGCGCGAGCGGCUAACUCGUAGUCGCGCAAGGAAGAAGAAUCUAGUCAAAAGGGGGAGAGAGAGCGAGGAGGAGGAGGACGAGGAGAGAAAGUAAACCAAGCGAGAAGAGAAA